rnacentral:rRNA from 1 species
GAUGAACGCUGGCGGCGUGCUUAACACAUGCAAGUCGAACGGAAAGGCUCCUUCUUGCCGGGGUACUCUAGUGGCGAACGGGUGAGUAACCCUUGGGUUAUCUGCCCUUCACUUCGGGAUAAGCCUGGGAAACUGGGUCUAAUACCGGAUAGGACCACAUUUUGUUUGGUGUGGUGGAAAGUUUUUCGGUGUGGGAUGAGCUCGUGGCCUAUCAGCUUGUUGGUGGGGUAAUGGCCUACCAAGGCGUCGACGGGUAGCCGGGCUGAGAGGGUGUACGGCCAAAUUGGGAUUGAGAUACGGCCCAGACUCCUCCGGGAGGCAGCAGUGGGGAAUAUUGCACAAUGGGCGGAAGCAUGAUGCAGCGAAGCCGCGUGGGGGAUGACGGCAAUCGGGUUGUAAACUACUUUCGCUAGGGACGAAGCGCAAGUGACGGUACCUGGAGAAGAAGCACCGGCUAACUACGUG